rnacentral:rRNA from 1 species
CGGCAAGCCUAACACAUGCAAGUCGAACGGACUUUACUCAUAGCUUGCUAUGGGUAAAGUUAGUGGCAGACGGGUGAGUAAUGCAUAGGAAUCUGCCCAGUAGUAUGGGAUAGCCACUAGAAAUGGUGGGUAAUACUGUAUAAUCCCUGCGGGGGAAAGAUUUAUCGCUACUGGAUGAGCCUAUGUUAGAUUAGCUAGUUGGUGGGGUAAUGGCCUACCAAGGCGAUGAUCUAUAGCUGGUCUGAGAGGAUGAUCAGCCACACUGGAACUGAGACACGGUCCAGACUCCUACGGGAGGCAGCAGUGGGGAAUAUUGGACAAUGGGCGAAAGCCUGAUCCAGCUAUGCCGCGUGAGUGAGGAAUGCCUUAGGGUUGUAAAACUCUUUCAGUGGGGAAGAUAAUGACGGUACCCACAGAAGAAGUCCCGGCAAACUCCGUG